rnacentral:lncRNA from 10 species
CGCGACCUUGGCUCACUGCAGCCUCCACCUCCCAAGUUCAAGUGAUUCCCCUGCCUCAGCCUCCCUAGGAGCUGGGAUUAUAGGCACCCACCAUCACGCCUGGCUAAUUUUUGUCUUUUUAGUAGAGAUGGAGUUUCACCAUGUUGGCCAGGCUGGUCUUGAACUCUGUGAGUUCAAGUGAUCCACCCGCCUCGGCCUCCCAAAGUGCUGGGAUUACAGGUGUGAGCCAGCCAGAGUUCCGCUUGACUGUGACCUCACAAUAUGUUUUGGUAGUUCUUUCCCCUUUCCCAUUCACUACAGCUUCCUUCCAAGCCAAAGGCCUUCCCUCCCAGCAGCAAAAGCAGUCAGAGGACGAUGUUCCCUAGUCUAAUCUGCUCUUUCCUUCCUUCAUUCAUUCAAUCAAUCAUUCACGCAGCUGGCCAGCAGACACUGGAUGACCACCCCUGGGCCAGGCCUUGUGGCAAAUGCUACAGUAAUGACCAGACACAUCACACCCGCCUUCUAGAAGCCCUCCCUCACAAACCGGAUCAACUGCUAUGAUAAAGGAAUUCAGCAUGAACUUGGCCACUCUGAGCGCCUAGAGGCCACACUCAGGUCGAAGGCACGUGGCCCUGUGACAACGUGGCAGCUCACUUCUUCAAAGCCAGCAGCAGACACUCUCAGCAGGUGGCCUCUAGGAGCUGAGGUUCUCAGUCCUACAACCACAAGGAAUGAAUUUUGCCAAAAAACAGUGAGCUUGCAAGAAGACACCAAGGCUCAGAUGAGACACCAGUCCCAGCCAACACCCUGAUUUCAGCCUGCAAGAUCCAAAGCUGCGAUCCCCAGUUGAGCCAAGCAAGCCCUGAUUUCUGACCUACAGGAACUGUGAGAUAAUAAAUGGGUAUUUUCAGCUGCUGCGUAGCCAUAGAAAACUAAUACAGAUUUCGGUGCCUGGAAGUGAGAUGUUGCUGUAACAAAUACCUAAAAUGGAGAAGGGUGGAGGGAUUUUGAGGAGCAUGAUAAAGCCUGCAUCUCCUUGUAGAAAUGUGGAUGGUUGCUUUGGGAGGCCGAGGCAGGAGGAUUGCUGGAAGACAGGAGUUCAAGAUCAGCGUGGGCAACAAAGUGAGACUCCGUCUCCACAAAAAAUAAUUUUUAAAAAUUAGCUGGGCAUGGUGGUGCAUGCCUGUACUCCCACAUACUUAGGAAGCUGAGGCAGGAGGAUCACUUGAGCCCAGAAAUUCGAGGCUGCAGUGAGUUAUAAUUGCACCACUGCACUCCAACCUGGGCGACAGACUGAUAUUCACAAUAUGGCAAUAAGAGGAAGGAAGUGAGGAACAUGUCAUUGGAAACUGGAGGAAAGGGAUCUUUGCUGGAUAGUGGCAGAAACCUUAACAAAAUUGUUUCCUGCAAUGCUCGACAUCACUAAUCAUCAGGGAAAUGCAAAUUUAAACCACGAUGAGCUAUCAUCUCACCCCAGUUAGAAUGGCUAUUAUCAAAAUGACAAAGAAAUUAACAAAUGCUUGCAAGGAUGCAGAGAAAGAGGAAUGCUUGUACACUGUUGGUGGGAAUGUAAAGUAGUACAACCAUUAUGGAAAACAUCAUGGAGGUGCCUCAAAAGUCUAAAAAUAGAACUACCACAUGAUCCAGCAAUCCCACUGCUGGGUAUAUAUCCAAAAAAAGGAAAUCCGAACAUCCAAGAAAUACCUGCACUCCCAUGUUUAUUGUAGCAUUAUUUACAAUAGCCAAAAUAUGGAAUCAACCUAAAUGUUCAUCACUAGAUGAAUGUAUAAAGAAAAUGUGGUUUAUAUAUACAAUGGAAUACUAUUCAGCAAUAAGAAAGAAGGAAAUCCUGUCAUUUGCAGCAACACAGAGGUCAUUAUGUUAAGUGAAAUAAGCCAGGCAAAGAAAGGCAAAUAUCACAUGUUCUCAGGCACACGUGGGAUCUAAAAAAGUGGGGCCAGUCACAGUGGCUCACACCUGUAAUCCCUGCACUUUGGGAGGCCAAGGCAGGUGGAUCACCUGAACUCAAGAGUUUGAGACCAGCCUGGUCAACAUGGUGAAACCCCAUCUCUACUAAAAAUACAAAAAUUAGCCGGGCAUGUUGGCAGGCACCUGUAAUCCCAGCUACUUGGGAGGCUGAGGCAGGAGAAUCACUUGAACUCAGGAGGCGAGGUUGUAGUGAGCCAGGAUCAGGCCACUGCCCUCCAGCCUGGGUGACAGAGGGAGACUCUGUCUCAAAAAACGAACAAACAAACAAACACCACUGGGUGCAGUAACCCACACCUGUAACCAGCACUGUGGGAGGCCAAAGCGGGUGAAUCACCUGAGGUCAGGAGUGCAAAACUAGCCUGACCAACAUGAUGAAACCCCGUCUUUACUAAAAAUACAAAAAUUAGUUGGGCAUGGUGGUGGGUACCUGUAACCUCAGCUACUCGGGAGGCUGAGGCAGGAGAAUCUCUUGAACCUGGGAGGCAGUGGUUGCAGUGAACCAAGAUCGAGCCAUUGCACUCCAGUCUGGGAGACAGAGUGAGACUCUGUCUAAAAAAUAAUAAUAAUAAAUAAAAUAAAUAAAAAAUUAAAAAAUGGAUCUCAUGGAGGUAGAGAGCAGAGUGAGGAUUACCAGAAGCUGAGAAGAAUAGGGGGAGGGAGAGUGAAGUGAAGUUGGUUAAGGGGUAAAAAAAAAUAGUUAAAUGUAAGGAACAGUUUCUAAUAUUCAACAGUAUAGCAAGGAACUUAUAGUUAACAAUAAUUUAUUGUGUAAUUAAAACUAGCUAGAAAAGAAGACUUGUACUGUUCCCAACACAAAGAAAAGAUAAAUGUUGAGGUGAUACAGAUAUGCUAAUUACCCUGAUUUGACCAUUACACAUUGUAUACAGUUAUCAAAAUAUCACACCUACCCCCCAAAUAUGUACAACUAUUACAUAUCAGUGAAA